CUGGUUUCCGGUUCACCUGCGUGGUCCGCGCGCGGGACCCGGGGCC
rfam:Actinomyces urogenitalis DSM 15434 SCAFFOLD2 genomic scaffold, whole genome shotgun sequence.